AGUAGUCAUAAAUUGAACAGGUGCAAAACAACUUUCAAUUUCUUUUUAAAAAGUCUACGAAUGCCCUGAGCGCACUGACCUUUGAGAUGUUUUUGAAAAACGAUCACUUUGGAGUGAAUUUAAAAAAAAUGCAUGACUUGUCUAUCUAUUAAGGAUG